rnacentral:rRNA from 1 species
CGUCGUGCGAGCUGAUCAGCCAUGCCGCGUGUGUGAAGAAGGUCUUCGGAUUGUAAAGCACUUUAAGUUGGGAGGAAGGGCAUUAACCUAAUACGUUAGUGUUUUGACGUUACCGACAGAAUAAGCACCGGCUAACUUCGUGCCAGCAGCCGCGGUAAUAA